rnacentral:rRNA from 1 species
UACGUAGGUGCCAAGCGUUGUCCGGAUUUACUGGGCGUAAAGAGCGCGCAGGCGGUCGAUCAAGUCGAGUGGGAAAGCCCCCGGCUCAACUGGGGAGGGUCAUUCGAUACUGAUCGACUCGAAGGCAGGAGAGGGUAGUGGAAUUCCCGGUGUAGUGGUGAAAUGCGUAGAUAUCGGGAGGAACACCAGUGGCGAAGGCGACUACCUGGCCUGUUCGUGACGCUGAGGCGCGAAAGCUAGGGGAGCAAACGGG